UGGCUUUGAACUAUGAUUCUCACAUCUCAGCCUCAUGAAUAGCUAGGAUUACAGGUGUGAGUAACCAGCACCUGGUUUUAGGCUCCUUUUCACUCUUUUCUUGGAUAAUAGAUGUUUCCUCAGAUAUAGUUAAUAGUGGAGAAAAGAGGUAUAGAAUCUAAGCCAAAAGUCCUAGCUGCAUAGUCUGCCCCCUGAAAUCUCCCAAUCCUUUCUUAAUAAGCAGGACCCUGAGCAGAAAUCAGGUAACUGCAGGAACUCAGUGAGAGUGCUACUUCAGAUAAUUUCCGAGUUCUAGAUCUUGAAUGCUCUUAAGUCCAGUGUCCUGUGGCUAUUAACAUGGAGGUUCAUAAAGGAACCAAAUCAUAUUCAUUUCACUUAAACAAACAUAGCUAUAAAUAACCUUUUAUUCCCAAAUAAAAAAGGUAGUGGGAUUUGCUAGAAAACAUCAAUAUUUAAUGAAGGCAUCAAACAAGUUAAAGAAGAGACCAGGUAUGUUUCUCAGGUUCUAUGGUUUUUGAGCAGGUCACAAAGUGUCAAAUUCUAUCACUCUAUAAAAAUAAUCUCUGUUGUCCAGUGAAAUCUCAGAAAAUUCUCCACAGGUAAGAAAGGAAUCCAUAGAGAGGAAACAGAAAUGGAGCAAGCCUGUCCUGGUCAACAAUUAACUUCUACUAAUAAAAAAGGGAAAAAAAUACUCUACCUGAUCUUUAGUCUUUAAUUACUAACAUGAGUAGUUAUCCAAGCAAUUUUUCAAGGUCUACCAGAACAGGUAGCACAGACAGGCAAGUGAAUUUCUUAUCAAAGAAAUGAUGUCCAGACAGAGAGAGAAAUGAGAAGAAUAUGGACCAGAAGGUAAAAGAUACUUGGAGAGGCAGGGAGGUAGCAGUGAAAAUCUAGAAGUAAAUUCACUCAAAGCUGAAGGAGUUGCUAACUAUCACAUUUGACAAGCUCUACCAUCCAAAGCUGAUGCAGUUUUCAGCUGAAUUAUUGGAAAGCAGAUCUUUCUCCUCUUUCUGUAAUUAGCCUAAAGAUUUCUCCAGGGACCAGGCAGGUUCCUACCUUGCUUUAAGAUCAGAUCUCAAGGGAGAAUAAUGGCCUCCAGGCUGGGAGCUCCAGGCUCAUAGUAAGCUUAUCCUAAAAUGGUUUUGGAAUCGACAAUAAUAUGUUUGCUCUUUCUUUUUUUUUCUGGAGCCUACAUACUAGGGAAACAAAUUAGUUUGCAACAACUCAGGUUUGGAUUAGAAUGCCCUAGGGUGUUGUAUAAAAUCCUAUACAACUAAGUAGGUAGCUUGGGCAUCAAUAGAAUAGACUGUUGAAGGAUUUGCAUCUUUUAUUUUUCAAUGGAGGUUCUGAAAUCAAAUAUUUGAUGUUAUCUUUUAAGAAGAAGAUGUAAUGCCCAGCACCUGUAAGAGAGCAUUCCUACUCUCAGAAAAUGGAAUGAGAAAGAGAAGUAUGGAAAUCUUGCAGAUUUUCCUUUGAGCGCUAUAGUUUUAGGCACGUAAUCACAGAGCCCAAAUAAAAACAGCAGCUAUAAGAGGAAAAACACUCACUGCACAGGCACUCCCAGAGGCCCUUUUGAGUCAACAUUCCUGUCCCAGAGGCCAUCACUUUGUUCCAAACCAUAUUACUGAAUAUGAUUUGUUCUCUUUGAAACUCGUGUUGAAAUGUGAUUGCUGCAGUGGUGCAGAGGUUGGGAAGUGGGUCCAAUAAGAGCUACAUCUCUAAAGGAUGAUUGGAUGGCUUUUUCCCCAGUGACUUAUCACCUUCACAGACUGGAUUAGCUACUGUAAGAACAGGUUUGUUAUAAAUCAAGUCUGGUCCUUGUGUUUUGCUUCUUCUGCAUGUACAUGCUUGCCCUCUGAUUUCUCAUUGUGACUUGAAGCAGCAUGCGGCUCUCACCAGCACCAAGCUUUUGGACUUUCCUGUUUCCAGAACUGUGAGCUCAGAUAAACUUCCUUCAUUAUAAAUUACUUGGUGUCAAGUUUUUGUUCUAGCAACAGAAAACCAGCUAUGACAAAAAUGAGAGAGUAGUUCUAUGCAAUACUGCAAUUAGACAGGAGAAGAUAAAAAGCCUCAUUAUGGCCUCUAUCUGGCCUUGAUCUUUCUAAUCUUCUAGACAAGAAUUCAUAUCUGCUGACAGCCAUUCCUUUUAUGGCCUCGCAUAGAAUCUCUUCCCACCCCAAUCCCAACUCUCUGUUUAAGACUCAAGGCAUGUUGCAGCUUUCCUGCAGUAUUUACUAUAUUUAGGUUCAUGUUAGUGAUAUUUGUGCAUGAAUCCCUGCCAAGUGACUGAAAAGACAAGUCACAGAUUUGACUCUCUUUCCAGUACCUUCCAUAUUUGUUAAAUUGGAGUUGAGCUCCCAAUUGCUGAAUGAACAUAUUUUCCCUAAGGUAAGACAAUGCUUUUUAUCUUACCUGCCAAUUCUGUUUGAUUAACAACAGUGGGUGCCUAAAAUAUAGCUGCAAGAAUAGAGCCAUAAUAGAGCUCAAGUAGCAAGGAGUGUUAUAAUCAAUUAAUGAUGUCUGUCAUAGGCAGGACUGGGAGUGGCAAUGUGAAUUAUUUGUGAAUACGAAGCAAGAGUUAUGAGAGUAUACAGAAGGGAUGUUUUCUCCCACCAAGCAGAGAAGUCGAUAUGACAAAAGUCAGAAUUAGAUGCCUCUUCAAGGUUGAGCAGAUAAUUGUGGACAAAAUAUCUGAGUACCAAUACAGAAAAGUAAAUCCAUUAGGUGAAAGCAAGUACUAGAACAAUUUAACUAAAACAUAAGCUCAAAUAGAAGGUUUAUGUAGGAGAAUGGACUAACCAAUGAGGACAAGUUAAGGGACAUUAAA